AGUGAACGCUGGCGGCGUGCUUAACACAUGCAAGUCGAACGAGAACGGAUUAUAGCUUGCUAUAAUUGUCAGCUAAGUGGCGCACGGGUGAGUAAUGUAUAGGUAAUAUGCCUCUUACUAAGGGAUAACAAAUGGAAACGUUUGCUAAUACCUUACACUACUUAUUAACAGAAGUUAAUAAGGGAAAGAUUUAUUGGUAAGAGAUUAGCCUGUAUUGUAUCAGUUAGUUGGUGGGGUAAUGGCUUACCAAGACUAUGACACAUAACUGGUUUGGGAGGAUGAUCAGUCACACUGGAGCUGAGACACGGUCCAGACUCCUACGGGAGGCAGCAGUGGGGAAUAUUGCACAAUGGACGAAAGUCUGAUGCAGCAACGCCGCGUGGAGGAUGACACAUUUCGGUGCGUAAACUCCUUUUAUGUGAGAAUAUAAUGACAGUAUUAUAUGAAUAAGCACCGGCUAACUCCGUGCCAGCAGCCGCGGUAA
rnacentral:rRNA from 1 species